rnacentral:rRNA from 1 species
GACGAACCGUACGAACGUUAUUCGGAAUUACUGGGCGUAAAGCGUGCGCAGGCGGUUAUGCAAGACAGAUGUGAAAUCCCCGGGCUCAACCUGGGAACUGCAUUUGUGACUGCAUAGCUGGAGUGCGGCAGAGGGGGAUGGAAUUCCGCGUGUAGCAGUGAAAUGCGUAGAUAUGCGGAGGAACACCGAUGGCGAAGGCAAUCCCCUGGGCCUGCACUGACGCUCAUGCACGAAAGCGUGGGGAGCAAAC